rnacentral:rRNA from 1 species
GACGAACGCUGGCGGCGUGCUUAACACAUGCAAGUCGAACGAUGAAGCACCAGCUUGCUGGUGUGGAUUAGUGGCGAACGGGUGAGUAACACGUGAGUAACCUGCCCCUCACUCUGGGAUAAGCCUGGGAAACUGGGUCUAAUACUGGAUACGACCGAUCUCCGCAUGGAGUUUUGGUGGAAAGUUUUUGUGGUGGGUGAUGGACUCGCGGCCUAUCAGCUUGUUGGUUGGGUAGUGGCCUACCAAGGCGACGACGGGUAGCCGGCCUGAGAGGGCGACCGGCCACACUGGGACUGAGACACGGCCCAGACUCCUACGGGAGGCAGCAGUGGGGAAUAUUGCACAAUGGGCGAAAGCCUGAUGCAGCGACGCCGCGUGAGGGAUGACGGCCUUCGGGUUGUAAACCUCUUUCACCAGGGACGAAGCUAACGUGACGGUACCUGGAGAAGAAGCACCGGCUAACUACGUG